rnacentral:rRNA from 1 species
UACGUAGGGGGCAAGUGUUGUCCGGAUUUACUGGGCGUAAAGAGCGUGUAGGCGGCCAAACAGGUCCGUUGUGAAAACUGGAGGCUCAACCUCCAGACGUCGACGGAAACCGUGUGGCUAGAGUCCGGAAGAGGAGAGUGGAAUUCCUGGUGUAGCGGUGAAAUGCGCAGAUAUCAGGAAGAACACCAAUGGCGAAGGCAGCUCUCUGGGACGGUACUGACGCUGAGACGCGAAAGCGUGGGGAGCGAACAGG